AUUCCAGCUCCAAUAGCGUAUAUUAAAGUUGUUGCAGUUAAAAAGCUCGUAGUUGGAUUUCUGUUCUCGAGGAUCGGUCCGCCUCACGGUGAGCACUGGUUUUUCUUGGGGACAUCCUCUCGAAGGCGGGUGGUGCACUUAAUUGUGUGCUGCUUGGAUUCGGGACCUUUACUUUGAAAAAAUUAGAGUGUUCAAAGCAGGCGUCGGCUUGAAUACAUUAGCAUGGAAUAAUGGAAUAGGACUUUGGUUCUAUUUUGUUGGUUUCUAGGACCGAAGUAAUGAUUAAUAGGGAUAGUUGGGGGUGCUCGUAUUGCCGGGCCAGAGGUGAAAUUCUCGGAUUCUGGUAAGACGAACUUAUGCGAAAGCAUUCACCAAGGAUGUCUUCAUCG
rnacentral:rRNA from 1 species